UAACAACCCAAGUUCUUCAACUAUCAUGAAUGUUUGGUCCAUAGCACUGGCUCUGACAUUGUCACUCUUAUUAUCAACUACUGCUAGAGCCAAAGCUGAGAUUCAACCAUCCACAGAAGAAGUGCACUCUUUGCAUCUUACUAAGUCUUCAUCUUCUCAUCAAGCUACAAAAGAUUUGCAUGCUUAUAAUAAGAAGCAUCCUUCAAUGCAGGUGGGUUCUAGUUUCAGAAGGAUACCUCCAACCAAAUCAAAUCCUACACAUAACAAGUUCAAUCCUCCAAUACAGCAGGUUCAAAACUACCCAGUUCUUUACUUAUCUUCUUAUUUCCUUCAUUUGGAUUUAAGAUCCACUUCUAAACAAAGAGAAUGCUCCUUCACCUUCCACCUAAUCUGAGUAAAGUCGAAAAACCCAUUUGAGAGGGCAAACGAUACCGACGGAUACUAAGGGUACGUGUUUUUAUUCUUAGAGGUCAUUCACUGGAAUACUACUUUUACUCGAGCACGCUUAACUGUGAAGUUCAGAUGAAAUCCGAUUCAUCUAUCAAUAGCUUUUCCCAAUGUGCAAGUGUUGCUAUCACAAAUGGAAAAACAAGCUGGGCAAUAAGGCAAGAGUCAUUU
rnacentral:lncRNA from 1 species